GAUGAACGCUGGCGGCGUGCCUAAUACAUGCAAGUCGAGCGAACAGACGAGGAGCUUGCUCCUCUGACGUUAGCGGCGGACGGGUGAGUAACACGUGGAUAACCUACCUAUAAGACUGGGAUAACUUCGGGAAACCGGAGCUAAUACCGGAUAAUAUAUUGAACCGCAUGGUUCAAUAGUGAAAGACGGUUUUGCUGUCACUUAUAGAUGGAUCCGCGCCGCAUUAGCUAGUUGGUAAGGUAACGGCUUACCAAGGCAACGAUGCGUAGCCGACCUGAGAGGGUGAUCGGCCACACUGGAACUGAGACACGGUCCAGACUCCUACGAGAGGCAGCAGUAGAGAAUCUUCCGCAAUGGGCGAAAGCCUGACGGAGCAACGCCGCGUGAGUGAUGAAGGUCUUCGGAUCGUAAAACUCUGUUAUUAGGGAAGAACAAAUGUGUAAGUAACUAUGCACGUCUUGACGGUACCUAAUCAGAAAGCCACGGCUAACUACG
rnacentral:rRNA from 1 species